GGAAUGAAUGAAGGAAGCGAGCCCGGGGAAUGACACUUGCAACAAUGUAACAACAAUGUGGCAAAAGGCAAUCGGGCAGCGGGUCGCCAGCCUUCAGUCGGCUGGUGUGCGGGCCGCCAGAGUUCUCAGUACGGGCUCCACGUGAAGCCGGUGCUCCGCUCGCCGCCACUACAUACACAUGACUUUCCAGAGACCGGCAGUGUACAGGCAAAGUCGCUCCAGCUUGAGCACCGGCAUCUGUAUGGAGGAGAAGGAGAAGCAGCAGUAGCAGCAGCAGCAUUGCCACCCGACUCAUCGGCGACGGUGUGUCGCCAAGCAUGCAGCCAGAUUGGCAAAGAACCACCAGAUCCUCCAACAAAAAGUUUAAAAAUCAAUCAUUUUCAACCUGGGAUUUUCUGAAAGGCAGUCCAGUCCUUUUGCGUAAAGGAAACGUGAUCAUUUACAUAGUUCUACAUGUUCAACAUCUUGGGAAAUGGCUUGGAGCAUGAAGAAGCAGACAGGCAAUUGAAGUUGCAGAACUUGUGCCCCAUCAAUGCCCUGCCUUCCAUCAUGUCAUUUUAUGAGCUUCAGCCAAGAAAUACCCACUCAU